GGAGGAGUACCCAAGUGGCCAAAGGGGGCAGACUGUAAAUCUGUUGCAAGUUGCUUCAGUGGUUCGAAUCCACUCUCCUCCACCA
rnacentral:tRNA from 4 species